CAGUCGCCCGGGAAUACGAAGGGUGCAAGCGUUAAUCGGAAUUACUGGGCGUAAAGCGCGCGUAGGUGGUUUGGUAAGAUGGAUGUGAAAUCCCCGGGCUCAACCUGGGAACUGCAUCCAUAACUGCCUGACUAGAGUACGGUAGAGGGUGGUGGAAUUUCCUGUGUAGCGGUGAAAUGCGUAGAUAUAGGAAGGAACACCAGUGGCGAAGGCGACCACCUGGACUGAUACUGACACUGAGGUGCGAAAGCGUGGGGAGCAAACAGGAUUAGAGACCCCAGUAGUCCCUGUCUCUUAUACA
rnacentral:rRNA from 1 species